CCCUGUGCAUAGCUGCACCGAAUCUGAACAACAAUGGCACAAGCCACGGACAGUGGGUGUGAAGCCAGGACCUAUCAACUCUAUGAUCUUCACUAAGCCGGUACCAAAUAGGAUGGCCCAGACUGGAGAGUGGAUUCUACAGAGGCAUUGUGGGUCCAUUACCAGAUCCCUGACCUGACAAGCCCCUUGUGGAAAGUGCCUUUGGGCUGGUGCAGGAGGGCAGUGUUCUGUCAUGUCAGCAGC